rnacentral:rRNA from 1 species
CUGAAUAAUGCUGAUGCAUUUGCCAAGAACGUAAUGGCGACGUAUCUUUCAAAUGUCUGCCUUAUCAACUUUCGACGGUAGUUUACACGGCUACCGUGGUUUUCACGGGUAACGGAGAAUUAGGGUUCGACUCCGGAGAGGGAGCCUGAGAAACGGCUACCACAUCCAAGGAAGGCAGCAGGCACGCAAAUUACCCACUCCCGGCACGGGGAGGUAGUGACGAAAAAUAGCGAGACGGUUCUCUAAGAGGCCCGUCAUCGAAAUGGGUACAAUUUAAAUCCUUUAACGAGGAUCUAUUGGAGGGCAAGUCUGGUGCCAGCAGCCGCGGUAAUUCCAGCUCCAAAAGCGUAUAUUAAAGUUGUUGCGGUUAAAAAG